ensembl:lncRNA
GGGCGAGGGCGCCGCUCUCGGCGGCGGCGGGGGAGCAAGUCGGGAGGACUCAACCUCCGGGCAAGAAGCCCCCACCCGGGACCCGGCGGGCCCCGCGGGCGCGGGGGUGGAUGCCCGGCUCGGGCAGAAAUCUCCCGCUCCGGUUUUCGCGGCCCUGGAGGGACCUUCCGCCCCGAGAGCUCCCACCUGGGACGGCGGCUCCAGCAGGUCAAGACCCCGAGUGGAAGGAAGGCCGGGGGCGUGCAGGUAGACCCGUUUUCCUUUCUCCCGGCCAGGCGAUUUCUGCUGCCUGGGGCCGUGGCGGUGGGGGCUGCGGAGCCCAGGAGCUUCCCACCCAGAGGAAAGGCAGCCUCACCCUCACUCUUCUCAGCGCGGACACGCCGCCCUCACCGCCGUGGGUGAGGGUCCUCAGGCUACACCCCACGGCUUGGAAUUCCACAACAUUGGACGAGGCACUCAGGACGGCCUGGCUCCCACAGACCCCUGCAGGUGAGGACAGAUGCAAAGUGUGGGCGGGACUGGUUCUUGGGACGCAGACCCCGGUGGUGGUGGUGGUGGCAGCGGCGGUGGCGUGGUGAUUCUCCCUCCGGUGCUCUGUCCCUCCCUUCCCUCUCCUAACCCCUCUUUCCUCUCGAGCAGCCUCUGCCCCCCUCCCCAGGGCUGAACCUCACUUACCUUCCACCUGGCCUCUCCUACCAGCUUUGCAUCCUGUCCUGACCUGUCCUUGCCCAAGGCCAAGACCCCCCGCUGGGGCUUGGGGAGCACUGGGCCUUGGGAGCUGGGGCUGUGCCCAUGCCACUGGGCUGUGCUAGGCCUGCCUCCUUACUGGCUGCCCUCCCAUGGCUCAGCAGGGGGCGGGCAGGGGAAAGAAAGGGAAGGACGAAUUGAACUGGGUCCAUUUGGUGUCCAGGAGCGACUUGGACAGGGGCUGGGAGAGAGGCAGGUGGCUGGGGCCUUGGCAGCCCAUGCUCCUGGGGCUGUGUCCCUAGAAAGGGGGGGCUUGGCUCAGACCCUCCCUGACAUUGCCCUGUGUGGGGCUUGGUGGGCAGGAGAGCAGUGGGCACAGCCUCUGGCUCCCUCCAGGGAAAGAAACUUCUAGUGCCAGAGAGAUUAAUGCUGAGACUCCCCAUCGGGGCCACCCUACAGGAGGGACCACCUUGCAGGAGGGCCUCCUGGCAUUUCAGGGAGAAGAAGGGGUAACUAGGAUACCUGUUAAAGAGUGUCGGAGAGCGACAGGUGGGUCCUGGCUGUGCCCUGGGCCAGCCUCCUAGGGACCUGGUUCCCUGGGCCUCUGCUUGCCUUGGCUACUGACUGUCUUUCCGACCCCUCCACUGGCUUCUUGAUACUCGGGACAACUCCAGGCACAGUCCUGCCUCUGAGCCUCCGCUCGUGGUGUUCCCUCUGCCCUUCUCCCUCACCUGGUGACUGUUACUUCUUCUGCUCCUCUGCCUUCACCUUGGCCUGGGUGCAGCGGCCGGUCCCGCCAGGGAGCAGAGCCCUCCUUCUGGCCGCCUGUGCCCUCUCGCGUCCUGUGGCUGCAGCCUCAGCAGGGAUGUGUUUCUAUGUUGGCUGCUGCUCUGGCCCCGCUUCUCCCAGGCUGGCCCCACUGGGAUCCCCUGCCACGACCAGCCUGUACCAGCACCCUGGGGGAGCCCCAUAAACCUUUGUGAGAUGAGGCCAUGAGUGCAGUGUGGACUAUGGAAAACUCGUUCCAGGUGAAUGGCAGGAUAUUUCAAUCUGCCCCCUUGUACGCUGGCAGGCAGCCGUGAGCAGGGAGGGCGUGUUGGCGGCCAGGCCAAGGGAGGACUUGGAGGACCUGGGGUGGUGGGCAGACCUUGGGUGUGGCAUCUGAUGGAUCCACCCAUCCCCUGGCUGUUGGCCAGUCUGUGUCCCUUCCCAGGAGAAGCAGCUACCUGGGCCCUCUCUGGGAGGUGCCCACCCUUUUCUUGUUUCAAGAAUGAUUUCUUUGGGAGUCCCCAUCGUAGCUCAGUGGGUUAAGAACCUGACUAAUAUCUGUGAGGACGUGGUGACCCUGGCUUGGCUCUGUUGAGCGGAUGGACCCUCAGCAGGUCUGGUCCGGUCUUCGGGGCAGCCUUCACACAGCGGGUGUCCACCGUCGUCACGUGGCCCACCCCAGCUGGGCACCCUCCCUGGAGUGGAUGAUGGGGCUUUGGGGUGGUUGGGCAGCCUGGGAGCCAGGCCAGGAGAGCGUGUUGGGGCCCCGCGGCCUGGACGGAGCAGGAGUGGUGGCAGCAUUCCAGGGCUGGAGGAGGCCUGGGGCGCCCAGCCAAGGAGAGGAGGCCCAGAGGUGACACCCUGGCUCCUUGCCAUGUGACCUGGGCAUGUCCUGCCCCUCCCUCGGGCCUCAUCUUCCCUGCCAGGGUUUAGGGUGGCUGCUCUCCAAUGCCUUCCCAGGGCUAUUCCUCCACCAUUCCAGAAGGUUCUAGGGAGUCCUAUAGGCCCUGCUGUGCACGCUGCUCUGGGGCUGGUGAGACCCCCCUCUCGAGGCCAGAACGUGCCUCUGGCCUCGUGUCCUCAUUACCUGCUUCCCACCUAUCUUUCACCUGCCACAUUCUGGCCACGGCUCUGGGGUCUUACCUUUGGUCUUUCCCUGCCUCUCAAACCCCGCCUGGGCUCUGACUUGUUCCUGCCCUGAGCGCAGACACAAAGGGGCAUCCUCCUUGCUCCCUGGUGCUCAGCCAGACCCGGUAUGGGAGGCUGCCCACGGGUGCCCAGGGCCUGUCUGGAGCUGGAGGGGCGUGCGGAUACUGGGCCGGUCCCUCGGGGGGCAGGCGCUGUUCUGGGCCCUGGAGCUGGCUGGGGUCAGUGCGUCCUGUCCAUUGCCUUUCCCUCCCUGGGAAAAGGUGACGUGUGACCAGCCUGCAGACAGCGCCCCCAAUCACUUUGCUUCUCUGAGCGUCAGCUUUCUCUGCCGAGGGGACCCUGAUGACGCGAGUGUGUUGCAUUCACCGUAUUAUUUACGUCCAGCAAUGCCUGGUGUACUUGUGUGUUCGUGUGUGUCUGUGUGCGUGUGUGUGUCUAUUUAUUCCCUCCCUCGUGCUGACGUGGGAAGUCGGAAGAGCGAGGGAGCCAUGAGUGAGAAGAAAAAGUGAAACCAAGAAGAUGGACCCAGACCCCCCCUGGGGAGCCAGCAUCCUCUGCCUGGGCCGGGACCCAUCCCAGAUCUGGCCCCGAGCAUCCUGGUGGGAAAACGUGAUCGGCUGUGAUUCCUAACGUCCAGAAGACAAAAGACAUGACCAUCCAGCUGUGCAAAACGUGUGACUAUGCGUGUGGCCGUGUGGGUCCCGGCCCCCCGCUCCCGUCUGAAUCUGGGGUCCCUGAGAUGCAGAUGGCCCAGGGCUGCGUGCAAAUCUAUGCCCGAGGCUCGUGGCUGGUGGCACAGAGGAGCUCAGGACGGAGAGAGGUCCCGGCCCGGCCGAGGGCCCAGCGAUGGCCAGAGGGUGGUGAGGGCAGCAGUGGGUUCACAAGUGAUGGCUCCUCACAGCCCUGGCUGCCUCGUGUGAGGGCAUCUUCUGAAUCGUUUGUUCUUUUGGAGGCCCCACCCCUGCCCAAGCCCUGGUCAUACCAGGCUCUCAGGGGGUUCUGGGUGCCCAGGGGCUCAGGCACGUCGUCUGCCCUCCGGGAGCCCCCUGGCCUGGGCAGGUGUCUAGGACCCUGGGAGGGGUAAGCGUGUUCCUGGAAAAGCCUCUUGUUCUUCUGCGAGACCUUCUGGAACUGGUGGGACACACGAAGCCUCGGGGAAGGCAGAGCUGUGGCACAGCUGCCCCUGUGUGUGUGUCACUCUACAAGCUGUGCGACCUCUGGCAAGUUACCUGAACUCUCUGCGCCACCUUUUAAUGAGGAUGAACAGCCUCCCUGAGUCCAGGACGCCAGUGUCCGAAGAUUUCUGAAGGUUGUUGCAUUGAACCCAGGAAGGCUCCAGAGUGCCGGGGACUCUGGAGCCGUGCUUGAAAAUCUGCUGUCCUCUCAGGCUGCUGCCCUGCUGCUCUGCCCGCCGCUCCUGAGUCCCGUCCAAACUGCCUGGCCUGGCCUUCCAGGCCUCCAAGUGGGGCCUCCGCUUCCCUCUUCAGCUCAUCUCCCGCCCCAGCCCGGCCCUGACCCAGUGCACCGGCCACGGAAGCAUCGCAGCCUCGACUCCACGAACACCAGGCCUGCGAACCGGGACCAUCACCGCUCCAGGAGGCGCCAAUCAAGGCCACUCGGCCGGACUCCGUGUCUGGACCUGGGCCCUGUCUUCUGCCUCCGAGUUCCCGCGCUUCCCGACUAGCCGCGGUUUCUGCACGCGCGCUUCCUCCGCUGGUACCACCCCCUCCCUUUCUGGAACUCCUUCCAGCUCAUCGUCCCAAACCCUAGCUGUCCUUCAAGGCCUGGCCCAGACGUGGCCUCCUGGACCUCCCCCUCCCCCCUGUAGUGUGUUUUGCCUUUUAUUUGUGACCUUGGGUCGCCGAGUUCCCGGGAGGGAGGGGCGAUGGGGGUCUACCGGCAGAGACGGCUAGUGGUCCCCCAGUACUCACUCUCCUCUUCCGAAAGUAAAAGAAGCUCC